rnacentral:rRNA from 1 species
UACGUAGGAGGCGAGCGUUGUCCGGAAUCACUGGGUGUAAAGCGCGUGUAGGCGGCCUGCCAAGUCUGCUGUGAAAGCGCCUGGCUUAACCGGGCGAGGUCGGUGGAAACUGGCGGGCUGGAGGACGGUAGAGGGGGGUGGAAUUCCUGGUGUAGCGGUGAAAUGCGCAGAUAUCAGGAGGAACACCCGAUGGCGAAGGCAGGUCUCUGGGCCACUACUGACGCUGAGAAGCGAAAGCAUGGGGAGCGAAACAGG